rnacentral:tRNA from 3 species
AGGCACAAUGGCGAAAGUUUUUCGCUCCACGCGCCGUCAUGGGGUGUCGGGGGUCGGAGGUUCAAAUCCUCUCGUGCCGACCA